rnacentral:rRNA from 1 species
AGGACGAACGCUGGCGGCGUGCUUAACACAUGCAAGUCGAGCGGUAAGGCCUUUCGGGGUACACGAGCGGCGAACGGGUGAGUAACACGUGGGUGAUCUGCCCUGCACUCUGGGAUAAGCCUGGGAAACUGGGUCUAAUACCGGAUAUGACCUGCUCUCGCAGUGGGGGUGGGUGGAAAGAUUUAUCGGUGCAGGAUGGGCCCGCGGCCUAUCAGCUUGUUGGUGGGUAAUGGCCUACCAAGGCGACGACGGGUA